rnacentral:lncRNA from 1 species
UUUAUUACUGUUUGAGUGAGACCCUCCCCCCUUAAAACCCUAGAAACUCACACAUAACUCGUCUCUCUCACCCCUCUCUCACUAUCCGCCGCCUCCGCCGCCGGAAAUCACCCUACGGCGACAGCCCAUCGCCAAAUAACCCCAAAACUUCACCAUAUAAUCCCAAGAUUCUUUCAUCACCAAUCUACCAUUAAUUCCCCUCAAUUUCCAUUAGAACUCCAUGAAUUUUAGAUCUUAAUCUAGGAAAAACCUAAAUCCACCCCUUUUCAAUUUUUUCUCAAAAAUCCCAAUUUGUUUGGGCUUAAAACCAAUGUCAAUCGACCGUUGUUGUUGAAUGUUACAAGUUGGCUUGGUUGUGUCUCGUUUCAAGGUCGUCGUUCAACUCGCCACUAGCUGGUCAGUUUUGUGGAAAGCCACUGUAAUUCUAGGUCCUUUUCCUUUUUCUUGGUUCAUUUUUGUCAUCUCUACUUGAAACACUGUCUACUCCCUUAAGCGUGAGUCAGUGUUCAUGUUGUGAUGCCUGACAUCCUCCAGAAUUUCCUUAUGUUCGAUGAUAUAUUGGUAAUCCUUUCCUCCUCCUUUUCAUUCCCUGAAUUAGCGGUUCUUUGUUUAAUUAUUACUUAAUUAUGAGUUCUUGUUUGACAACAUGUUUAGUUCAAUCAUUAAUUAUUUUAAUUGCCUAAUUAGUUAUUUGUCGAAUUUGAUGUUUGGUCAGUUUGUUGCUAUAGUUUCAAAUUGCAUAUUCAUUUAACAUGACAAUUGGCUAUUAAUUCAUGUUUAGUUGUGUUUGUUAGCUUGUUGAUAGUUUAAGCUUAGUUACUUCCUGAUUAAUGCUAUUAAGAGAAAGAAGUUUGGGAAAAAGAAGGGGUUAAAUGAAAGAUGGGUAAAUGCAGGGAUCUUGCAGGGUAGUUUAGGAAUUGAAAUUAAGGGAAUGUUAUAUGUAACUAUUUGAGAAAGUUCUAGAGACAGGACGAAGGAUUAAAGUGCAAUUAAAACCAGAAAUUAGGUCAGAUUUUGGGGUCAAAAGGGGAAUUUUCAGAAGCUAAAAGGGUUGAAAAAAAUAUAGACGAAUAUCUGAAUGGAUAGCUGUUGGACAACUGUCCAAUUCAGUUUUAAAAGAUGCUCUUUUCUUAAAAUUUAGGGACUGCAUUCUUAGAAUUAUUCCCUUAUCAUUUGGGCACAAGGCAGAUUUUAUUUUCUCUAUAUAAGGCCUUCUAUCUUCUUUCUCUCUCACACACACACGGAAAACCUCUCUGAAAUACAGACUCAUUUUCCUCAUUUUUGAGGCGAAUUUUGAGACUGAUUUUGAGAUUGAGGAAAACACUCAAAAAAACUUCCAUCAAGCUAAGUUUUAUUGUAGUUGUUUCUAUCUGUUGAUGCUGCUCUCGUUUAGUUGUAAAGUUAGGAUCACUGUUUGGUUUUCUCUAUUAGAUGUCUCUCCAUUAGUAGCUGAGCUUGUUUUCUUUGGAUUCUAAACCUUUAUUUGGUCAUUUCUUUUGUUUCUUUGCUUGAGAUAUGUAAAUCCUAAGCUUAUUCUUUUAUUUUGAAUCAUAGAUGAAAAUUUAUUGAAUAUAUGUUGGUUCUCACACUAACUAAGUGUUGUUUUGCCAAACUUUAAGUUCUAUUGCUCUAAUCUUGUUCUUGAUCGAUGUUUUGAUGAUGAAUAUGUUUUUCUCCGCUGAGAUUUUGAGUUGGCUAAUAGGCUAUUGAUGAAUUUGAAUGAUUUAGAAAAUCUAUUUGUUGUUUUUCAUGAAUCUAUGAGGGCUGUUUGAAUUUCAUUAAGUCUGUUUGUAUUGGAGGUUUUGCUUGGCAGAUUUUGAGCACUAUUGAAUUCAUGUGAGUCAUUCAACUAUUCCCUGUGUUAUUGUACGAGCUGCCAGAUUGUGGAAUUCAUCUUAUAAUAACAUUGGGAUUCAUAAUUAAUUAGUUCCAAUCUUAUAGCCUAUUUUUUUAUUUGAGUAGUUUCUUUUGGUCUCAAUUUGUAAUUAAGUGAACCUUCCUCCACUGAGUAGUGUAUCUCAAUCCAUUAGUGCACUAUUCAGUUAAUUCAAUUCAAAUUAAUAUUACAGUUUCAAAUGUAGAAUUAAAUGUAGCAUUUUGAUCCAGUAAUGUGAUUUUCAUAUCCCGAUAUUUGGAAGUUCGUCUAAAUCGCUGCUAGUUAUUGCCAUUUAAUUUGCUAGUUUCCAAACUUGUUUUGAUGUGUUUAUGGUAAGAAUUUGGUAAAUAUUUAUCAUGUUCAGUCAUUUAAUUGUAAACACUAUGUUGAAUGUAUCUAUCUAUUGCAUCUAAUUUCCUAUGGGGUUCAACAGCCAAAGAUUAUAUGAAUCAUGAAAAGAUGAGUCUUGCUUUAAUCUCUUUAAAAAUAUAGCUACUUUGUUUUCUUUUUUUUUUGUUGGAAAGAUAAAUAGUAUUAAACAUAAUUAAAGUUGCUACAGAGAGGGUGAUGCUGUCGCAUCUAAGUUAUAGUUUAUGUUUGGUUGAUCAUUACAGGGACUACUGCUAUCAAAACUAACAUUGUUAUCUAUCAUGGUAUCGCUAGAGGGAGCAUCCAUUUGUCGUUAAUUGUCCCAUUGUAGUUGUUGUAUCCAUGUUGUCUUCCUUAGGCGAGUGGCCUCUGCUCGAUCCCUUUGUAAAAAGAUUUUGACAAAAUCCGGUGGUUGUUCAGAAAUGGUUGCAGUUGUAGUAGAGUCGAUGUUGCACCCCGCUUUUGCUAAGCCAUCAGCCACCUCGUUCCCCUCCCUAUAGGUGUGCAUAAUAGUAGGACUAUGCAGCUUGUUUAGGAGGUGCCUGCAGCCAUGAAUUAUAUUAGUAUAAAGGAGGUUAUCUUGUCCCAACAUCCUGAUUACCUUUGUUGCAUCGAUGUUGAUUUCCAGGGGAACCAAAUGAUAUGUGUUUACCAAUUCUAGUCCAUAGAAUAGAGCUUUUAGUUCUUCUUGAACUAUGUUGGCACUGUCCAAAUUUUCUGCAAAACCUAUGAUUCAAUUUCCAUUGGAGUCACAUAUUGCUCCUCAUAUUCCUGCUUUCUGAGUUAAUGUUUCUACAGCCCCAUCCGUGUUUAAUUUAUAGUAGUUUGGUUUAGGAUGUAUCCAUUUAAUGGGAUGCAUUGAUGUUUGUUUUUUUAUGGUUACUCUCACAGCGAGGUAGGUGAAUUCAAGAGCAUGAUUAGUUACUUCUUUUUUAAGUGUUGAAGUAUUUCUUGCACAAUGGUAGUGUUAUCUUAGGCUCUUUUCCCCUCUUGGAAACUGGAUUGUAUGAGUCCAAUUAAUUUUGGUAAUAGAGGUUUUAACCUAUUGACAAUAAUUUUUGUAAUUAUUUUGUAAGUUGUGUUACAUAAGCUUAUAGGUCGAUAUUGA